rnacentral:rRNA from 1 species
UACGUAGGGUGCAAGCGUUGUCCGGAAUUAUUGGGCGUAAAGAGCGUGUAGGCGGUUUGGUAGGUCCGUUGUGAAAACUCGAGGCUCAACCUCGAGACGUCGGCGGAAACCAUCUGGCUAGAGUCCGGAAGAGGAGAGUGGAAUUCCUGGUGUAGCGGUGAAAUGCGCAGAUAUCAGGAAGAACACCCGUGGCGAAGGCGGCUCUCUGGGACGGUACUGACGCUGAGACGCGAAAGCGUGGGGAGCGAACAGG